rnacentral:lncRNA from 1 species
GUCAUGUGUUGAGCUACCAACAUUUUGAUUUAGUUCUUAUGGAUUUUGUGUUUAGUUAUAAACCUUUUAAGUCACCAUGUUUAUACAAUAAAUUGCCAUCGUGUUGUCUGGUUUUAUGUCCCACUUUUUUAUGUCCAUUAAAUCUCCUGUCUAUAUAUGUAUUGCUGAGGGUUAGGUUUUCGAUAUGUUGAUAUUGUUUUUGGUGAGAGUUUUGUUUCUCAACUUUAUUGAAAGCUUGAGCGGGUUUAUAAAGUAAUUCUGUUGAGGGUUAGACUCUCCAUAUGUAGCUAUGCUUCUGCAUAUGAAUUUAGGAUGCUUAAUCAUGACUGUUUGGUGCUAUCUUUCACAUAUGUUUCUGUUGGACAUUUAGAGAUGUUAAUAAGGCAGCUUAUUUGUGUGUUUGGGUGAUUUUAUUGUAUGGAUGGAACACUCCUCUAUUGAUUUUGUCUUUAGAUGCUACUUUAGACUUAACUAGAAUGGGUGCAUGAUUUAAAAUUAACUCUAUCCGCUUCAGCUUAAUUCUGUUUGUUCCACUGUAGUUAGUUCUACCUUGUUUAUCUUUUGCUUCUGUUAUUAAUAUAAUUACUCAACCUUUAAAAUAACAGUAAAUUUAUAGAAUGUGAGCACCUCAUAAAGUGCAAAAUUAUAAGAUACAAAAUCAGCCUAGUUCCAAAAAUUUAUCCAAAAAUAACUUCAACUCAACUUUUACUUACUAAAAAAAAAUUCAAGGAUAAAUAUUAAAAUUACACUUGAACUUUAGUUUAAUGUGUAAUGUUAUCUAUGAAAUUUGAUUUUGUGCAAUUAUAUGAAAUUUUGGAUUGAUUCAAAUUUCACAAAUUACUAACAUAAUUAUUGAUAUAGUACCAUUUUAUGUUUAUAUUGCGUACCCAAAGAACUAUGUUUAUCCCAUAUAAAAAACUCGAUGUAGUUAUUUCUUUAAAUGUGUAUAAUUGAAGUAAAAUCAAAAUUUCACAUAUACAUUUGAAUCACAAUCAAAUUUUAUGUAGAUAUCAAAUUACACUUUCGAUCAAAGCUCAUGCAUGAUUUUGAGAUUCAUCCUAAAAUUUUAAAAUCUUAACUUGAAAAAUUCACUUAAAAUAUAAUUUGAGCAUUUGUUCUACCAUUAGACCCUACCAUGGAAGUCAAUCCCUUGUUUGGUUAGUAGCAUCACUUGGAUUGCUUUUACCAUGACUUUCAAGCCUUUCUUAUCCAUUUGCCAGUGUCUGCUAGAUAUGAGCUGAUGUAGAUUUUCAUCAAAUAAAAACAAUGGACUAAAAGAGGCCCAUUGAUGGUCUUCUUCAGAGGCUUAUGUCUUUUAUGUUGCUUGCCUCUUUUGCCAAGGUUUUUUAAAUGUUAUCUUAUUUUUCUUCAACCCUUAUGCUUUUGACACUAUUGACACAUGUUAGUGAUGUUUUGAACUCAAAGUAGAGUAAGACUUUAAUUUAGGAUGGCGAUGGUUAACUAAUGAAGAAUUAGGGGUAAAAAUACUAUUAAGGUCUUUGUACUAGGAGUUUAAUUGCAUUUUACUCCCUCUACUAAAAAAAAGGGGCAAAUUAGUUCUUGUACGUUAGAUCAAAGAGCAAAUUAGUCUCUCUGUUAGAAAUUCCAUCCAUUUCUACUGUUAAUAAAGGGUCAUUCUAUGUCAGCAUGAGGUAUACAUGGCACGCCACAUGUCACUGUUUAAUUAUUCCAUCAGCCAACCAAUUUUUAACUAAAAGGGCCAAUUUACUCUUUGAUCUAAGAAACAUGGACUAAUUUGCCAAUUUCUUAAGUAGAGGAGGCAAAAUGCUAUCCAACUUUUAAUAUAGAAGCCUCCAUAGUACUUUUAGCCUACAAAUGCAUGUCGAUUAGAGCAGAUUCUCAUACCCAAGUACCAUUUUUGUUCUACACUUGACAACUUUGCUUGAUGAUUUAAGGAACAAAAGGUGUUUAUAGAGACUAAAGUGGUAAAGAUUGUCAUGGAAGCUUGUGCUAAAGCAACCUAUAUAAAGAGAUGUAUCUUCACUUCUUCUCCAUUGGCAUCCAUUUGGAGGAAUGAAAAUAUAGAUGGGAUUAUUAAUGAGAGAUAUUAGAUCAGUGAAGAAUUUUGUAGAGAAAAUAAGUGUUAGCAUUGAUUCCCCAAGAUUUUGAUAUAACAGCAUUUAAGAUAAAUUUUAUAUAUUAUAUUUUUUAAGUCAUUUAGUGAAAAUAUGGUCGAAAAUUUUAUCAAACAUUUUCAAAACAAUUUUAAAAGUUGAAAAAUAAUUUUUAAGAAUUUUUUAAGUGUUUUCAGGUUAGGUACAACACCUUGGCCAAAAGGUACGAUACCUAGAAGUUAAUGUGCAAAAUGGCAUAGAGGUACAACACCCUUCCACCCAAGUACUGCACCUUACCCAAGAGGUACCGCACCCUUCUAGCUGGGGUGCAAUACUUGUGGCUCAACAAUCAAAUUUUAAAGAAAGGUACCACACCCUAAAGGCUAGGUAUCACACCCCAAAACUCUGCAAGUGUUUUUAAGCCCAAAAUUAAUUCUUCCAAUGGUUAGAAUUCAUCCCCAAUGAUAAUAAACGUUCACAAAAUCAUUCCUCAAUAUUAAUACAAGUAAAAAACACAUCAAGACACAAAAGAUGAACAUCCAAUUCUUUAUUUCUUCAUUUUAUCUUGUAUAUAUAUCUUGUAACAAUCCGUUUUUCAGUGGUGUCAGAAAUGAUGGUUUCAGAGCCUCAUUCUCUGAUGAUUGAGCCUGUAAAUAUUAUUAGUUAAUAUUUAUGAGUCAAUUAUAAUAUUAUAUUAAAUUUUGGUUUGAUGAAUUUGUUAAUUGGAUAGUUAGUUAAGGUAUAAAUGUUUCAACCCUAAAGUCAAUGGUGUUGAAAAAUGAGGUAUCAGGACCUUUCUGUAAGUUGAGUUUGUAGAUAUUUUUAUUAAAUAUUUACAGAGUUAUUAUAUAGAUGAAUUUAAUUUUGGAUAGGUAAUUUCACCAAAUUAGUGGUUAAUUAUGGUACAAGGACUAAAUCAUAAAUUUAACCGCUAUAGAUUUUUAAUUUCUAAAGGACUUAGAUAGUAAUUAAAACAAAGCCAAAAGUGAUGAUCAGACCAUUUUAAGUGUAGUGGACGGUUGGUGGUAGGGAUUUUCUUAAAAUAAUGUUAAAAUUCUUAAUUAAAUUUUUUUAUAUGUUAAUGAAAUAAUAAACAAAAACUAUCAUCUUUUAUUUUGUCUUCUGCAUUAAAAAUACAAAGAAGAAAACUUGAGAAUCCAUUUUUCUUAUUUCAAGCUUUUCGACCAUCGCAUGAUAGGGAUUUGGGGACCAAAUCAUAGAUAAUUGUAAAAAAAUCAAAUUAGUGAUUAGUCCUUUACGACUUGUUAAUUGUUGAUUUUGUUGUAAUUUGAAAUGUUUGCAAUUUGAUACAAAAUGAGAGAUAUGGACUAAAUUGCAAGGAAAUGAUAACAUGACUAAUAAAUUGAAUAUGAUCAAUUGUAAUUUAAGAUAUUUAAUGAAUUAAUAGUUGAGUAUGACUGUUCAAAUCGUAUUGGCAUGAAUUUAAUAUAUAUUAUCGAUACAGAGGACUAAAUUGAAAAUAGUGUAACUUGGUGAAACUAUGAAGUUGUCUUGGAAUUGAAAUGAAUCAUGCUAUGCUUUGUAUGAAAUGAUAACUUGAUUAAUGAAUUGAUGAUACAGAGAUCGAUAGAAUGAGAGUUGAACUUGUAAUGAAAUUAGAUUAUUGGUUGCUCUAUUAACUGUUCAACACUUUGGUGCUCUUUGAUUAGCACUUAUGUGCUCUCUGUUCAACACUUUGGUGCUCUUUGAUUAGUAAAUUUGUGCUCUCUGUUUAGCACUUCGGUGCUCUCUGAUUAGCACUUUUAUGCUCUCUAUUAUGGUGCUUUCUGGUAUGGUUUAGUACUCGUGUAUCGAAUUUGUUUACUAAAUUUUAUCGAGUUAAUUAGUAUAUGAAAAUUGAGAAAUGAAAAUGAUAUGAUAUGAUGCUUUUAUAUAUAUAAAUAGUUGAACGUAGAAUAAAUAUUGGAAAUUGUAUUGGAUUGAUGACUUCGUGUGAAUAAUACUGAAUUGAAAUGUUAAAUGUUUAUAUUUUAAUAAGAUACGUUUUACAAUGAACUCACCUUAUUGAAUUGUGUUACCAUGUUUAGGCCUAUUUGUCAAGUUAAAUUACUUAUUGUAUUUAUGUGUAAAGUGAGGUAAGUUGUUAUUUUAUGCCUAUGAACUUACUAAGUAUUUUGAAAUACUUACUUUGUUGUUGUUUCCUUUUGUAGUUUUUCAACUUGUAGAACACGUCAAUCGAAUCGCCUUAGAGCUCACACUAUCUAGCUUUUGAUUCUAUAGUCUUUUGAUUGUUUAUGUUGGGUUAUGUGACAUGUACUUAGGUUUUUGGAAAUGUUAGUUUGGAUCUUUGUGUAUGUAUAUAUGUGUGUGAUUUACAUAGUGGUAUUAUUUAGUUGAAUUGGUACUUUUGAUGGAAAUGUUGUUAUAAACAACAUUAAUGAUAUGAGACAAGAUUAUGGCUUGUUGAUAAAUAAUGCUUAUGGUAUAUGUGUGCAUUGUGAGUUAGUUUAUGAAUUUAAUGGUAGCCUAGUUCAAUGGUUGGUACAAUGUUGUAGUCGAAUAAUUUAAAAGCAUGUAAGAAUGAUGGUUGAUUGAAUUGAAAUUGUAUAAGUUGACUUGAAAUGAUUUGGUGCCAAUUAAGACAUACUGGUUUUGGUUGUUGGGAAAAUGUUUAAAUGAUAUGUUUUGUAAAGGUUAUGUUGGGCAUUUUUGCACUAAAUGGUUAGCUGUUUAGAUGGCCAAGUGACUGGUGUCAAAUGAAUUAUUUUGCACCAAAAACAAGUUCCUUGCUCCAACGUUGAUUUCCCAUCGUCGCAAUGUUGGCCAACAAUUUGUGAUGUUCUGACAACAAGUGGUUCGACGUCGAGACUUGACAUACUGUUUUGGCAAUGUCACGACGUCAACCCUGAAUUUUUAAAACUUUGCAAUUUGGUCAUUGUUCGAUCUCAAGUAAAUUUUAGAGCUCACGUAAGCUCGAGAAAGGUUUUAAUUUGUACUGAAUGAUUAAAAUGAUAGAAUUUAUUAGUUUUUGACUCAUGUUGUUUGUUAAAUGUCUAUAAUUGUUCCGUUUUUUACUGUAGCAUCCCAUAGCUCAGUCCCAGCGACUGGAUCGGGCGAGAGGUGUUACAUAUCUCUUAUGUGGUUAUUGUUAGAUCCUUUUACCAUUCUCAUUUUCAUUCUUUGAAAGAGCUUAACAUUUGUAAUCACACGCCUUUGAGAAGUCUCCAUUGUUAACAUAUUUUAUUUGUGCUUGUAAAGGCUACUUGAGGGUUUUUAUAGAAGGUUAUAGUUGGGCCUUGUAAAAGCUAGAGGGUUAUAGUUUAGCCACCAAAACUAAGGGGAAGGUUCUAUUUCAACAUUUUGAAAAAGAUAGGGAUUGUAAAGUUUAUACCUUGUCCUUGAAAGGUAUCAAUUCAAGUAUAGCGAAUUGGGAAAUCUUUGGUUAAGGUAUACCAAUAUAGUGAAGAUAGGCAAUUGGGGCCGAACCACUAUAAGUCAAAGUGUCCAAGCUUUUCUUUCAUUUUCUUGUCAUCUAUAAAAGUUUGCAAAGAAUUUUAAAAUAUCAAUUCACCUCCUCUUGCUAUUUUCGGGCCUAACAAUAAGGCACUUUUUUCUAUCAUUGGAACAAUUACUUAUUCAUUGAUAACUCUAAAUUAUAUAGAUUUUUAGAGCACCUUUUUACUUAGAAUUUAUGCAAAUCUCGAGUAUUUUGAUAGCUAAUUAUGUGUUUUUAGUACAUAUUGAGAAUUUUGGCACAAAUAAAUCAAGAUUAUAAUUUUUGAGCAAUUAGGUACUAAUUUGACAUAACUUUACUUUAUGUUGCUGCAUUUUGAAAAUUUCAUAAUUUGUGUUACAAUUAUUGUAGCUUGGUACACUAACUUGUUCAAUGUUCAAAGCCAGUAUGAGUGACACAUGCAUGUGAGCUGAAUAUCAAUCAACAUGGGAUGGCAAGCUAAGGCAUUGGACUCAACAAAUUUAUUUUAACCCAGCUUGGAAGUGGAUUGUUGAAAAGAACAAGUCUGCUUUCUACAUUGGAGCCCAAAUUCUCCAUUAAGGGGGAAAGAAGCCUGAAUUCGGCAAUGACUUGGUAGAACAACCCAACAAACUUUGGAACAAUUAAUUAAGGGUCCUUACAUGUGUAAAAAAAUCACAAAUCAGCCCUAGUUAAACACUAUAGUUUUCGUCCAACCCAUGCCUUAAAUCAAGCAAAAAUCAAGCUUGAAACAUGAAAAAACUUAACCCCUUGUUCCAUGAAAUAUGGCUGGCCAUGCAUGAUAGAUUUCUAAAGGGUGUUCAUGCUAUUUUUAGAAAAAUCCUAAGCCUUCCCUAAUGUAUAAAUACCACCUCCAUUCACCUCUCAAAUCACUCAUCAAUCAAUCAUUAAUUCAUUCAACACACUCAUUUCCCCUUCCUCUUCCACACCUAAAGCCUUCCAUUUCCCUUCAUUUUUCCCAUCCUCUCUUUGAGAUUUCCCCUAGUAAGCCGUUCUUGAAAGAAAAUCUCUCUUGGUUGCCCACCUUGAGGAGUAAUUUGCAUCGAAGCAAUGACGAAAAUCAGAGGAAGCCACCACGGAUAGUUCUCGAGAAAUCACCGAAUUCAUCUCAGAGUUUCUUCUUCAUUUCUCUUUAAUUGUUCUUAGUUUAUAAACAUGUUUGUAAAUUAUUUGAUUGCACUUAACUUGUUUCAGCUAGAAUGGUUGCAAUGCCUUAAUUCGAUUCAUUCAAUUCAUGUUUAUAUUGUUCUGCGCCUCAAUUAUUUAUACUUCCAAUGAAAAUCAUUCAUGUUAUUCAUGCAUUAAGAUAUGUUUGACUGCAUUAGAAUUAAUCGCUUAAUCCAGACCAGAUGGUGAAUAAUGGACAUAAUAAUUGGAAGAUGCAUCGUUAAUUUAUAUUCGAACAAGAAUAAAUUAAAGGCUUGUAAUAAUUCUGAAAGAACACUAUUACCUUGCAUAACUUUAUAUUUAUGUGAUUAAAUUAUUCCAAACUUGACCCGUCCUUGUUACUUUGCAUAAAUUUUAAGGAAUCCUUAGUUAAAUAUUGACAUAGAAAUAUGCAUGUUUUUCUAAGUGAUAAAUCUAAGAUCUUGAAAGAGCAUAUGAUUGUAGAUUUCAAGUUCAUAAGUGAUCGAGUUGCCAUGGAAUUUUUCCGAAACAUAUGUUAAGCAUGAUAAUGAAUGAAUUAAAUUAAAAGUUGUAAUUGUUCUAGCUUAUUCAUGCUAUUGUUGUUAAAUCUUGUGAACUGUUGCUAAACCAUUAAUUGCAUUUAUUUAAUCUCAUUUGCAUAUUAGUUGUUAAUUUAAAUAGGACAUCCAUCACCUUCAAAUAUUUUAUUUUCAUAACCAAUUUGUAAAUUAAUAAUUUUACAACUGUUGAUUAAUAGGUACAAUCCCUGUGGAGACGAUACUCUUUUUACUUACUUAUUACUUGAUAAUGAUUGUGUAUACUUUCACAUUCCGUCGCGCACCAAGUUUUUGGCGCCAUUCAACGUAUAAUAACAACUAGUUUUAUAAGCUGCUUGGCAGAAUAAAGUUUUAAGGCACAUCACAAAGGUAUAAUAAGAGUACACCAAAUCGUACAUAAUAUGAAAGUUUGAAUAUUUGGCGAAGUGUCACUGACAUUCAACCUAUACAAAAUAAUGUACAUAGGUACAAACAAUUUUUCACUAUUUACAAAAUUUUAACAAAAUAGGCUAGAAAUGCAAGCCACCUUGAGAUAUACAUGUUACAAAAUAGACAAAUAAAUGGCUCACAAAUGAGUCAGCUGUCUAGCUGAGUCCCUACAAAAAAUUUGCAAUUCCCUAAGAUACCUGAAAAUGGGAUAAAGGAAACUAGGUAAGUUCAAAAAAAAACUUAGUGAGUUCUAAGAAUAAAUAAUAACCCAUGUAAACCUGCCUAUAAUACAAUAUCUUCAUCCAAGUCUGCGCACAUAGCACAUUGAAGGAAUAUCAAAAUAAUUAUUCAUCCUUAGGAGAAAAUAAACAACUCGCAUGCUAACAUAUAUUAUGACUAAAUUAGGUACCUUGGUGAAUAUUAACAGCAUCUAAAUACAAUUCACAAGCUAACAUAUAUUAUGACUAAGUUAAAUGCAUUGGCAGAUACUAUCUGCAUCUAAUUACAUUUGUUAAUAAGUAUAAUUCAUUGUCAGAUGUUGAUACAUUCAAGUAUAGUUCACAUGCGGUCCAUUUAAAAACAUUUCUACACCCUUUCUUGUGCUAGCUUCGGAUCCUUUCAACACUCCGAAGAACUAAUGUUUCAUUUAUACCAAUCGAAUCUCUGCAAAUCCUCCUUAUUAAUUUGAACACAUAUGUCUUCCCCCGCAAGGCUAGGGUCCGUCGUCAAUCUUAGUUUUCAUUCACAUGCCCUACUGGAGGCAAAAUGUGUAAAAAAUGUGUAACAUAUCAAAUUCUCCAUUUGCUCUUCCCAUCAUAUUACAUUUCAAUAGGCCUCUAUUACCCUCUUUUCCACCUUUCAGGAUACUGAGCUUGUGCACCAAGAAAGAAAUAUCCAUUUCAAUUAUUCAUUCACAUUUAUUUAAGUUUCUUGUUUACUGUUUGUUAUCACAAGAAUGCACAUGCCAAAUUCUAAGGGAAUAACUAACUUUACCUAAGAAGACAACAUAAAAUUUAAAGCUAGUUCGUUUACUUAUUUAAAACAAAAUUGAAAGGAACUCACUAGAAAUUCUAAGGAAAUUUUUAUCUACUCAAGGGGUUCUUUCCACUUCUUAUUAGAGACUUCUUUGACUUCUUUAGCUAAAUACAAUCAAUCAUUUCUAUUAAAUAUAGAAACAACCAAGACUGUUACGCAAAAAUAAGAAUCGACAACAUGCAACAAUUUAACUAGAACAAAGGUUCCCUCCUUUCAAAAAAAUCCAAUGAAAACCUAUAUAUAUGACUUCAACCAUUCUUAUAUUUCCUAAUAUUUGAACUAAAGGAGGACUUAAUAAAUUACCAGCAAUUGACUCGAAAGGAAAUUUCUAAACAAGCUAUAAAUACAGGUUCUUCCUUCUAGCAAUGAAGAACACUUCUAAUUUUCUUUGGAGAUAACAAAGAAUAAUCAAGGAAAAGGAAAUUAAAGUAUUUCCUCUUUUAUACCUCUAUUAUUUAUAUAAAACUAAGCUCUUCCCACUCUAAACAGGAUCCCUAAUCACAUUACAUGCACACAUGAUUCCACUAAUUAAGCACAACCAUCAAGACUCUCCAGGUUUUAUGCACAACGACACGUUCCUUUCCCAAGGGUUGACACGUCACUAGUACGUGUCCCACUUAUCGUAGGUUAAUAAUCAAACGAUUAAACCCAAAACAACUAAACUUGCCACUGGCAUGUUUGUGCACGGAAGAACUUACCAAAAUGAAAGAGUUUGCCAAAUGCAGAAUGGAAGUCCACAAGAUGCCAAAACACAGCAAAACAGUUCGCUAGAGGAUGCACCUAAUAGCUCCUAUAACACCCCUAACUCAUAGCGAAUGAUGGAAUAGGGUUACGGAGUAUUAGUGAACUUACAAUCAAACAAUCAGACAUUUUAUUUUAGAAACCAAUCAAACUCAAUCAUAUAGUCCCUAAAUACGAGUCCUUGAGGCCCAAAAUAAACACUAAAAACAAGUCAGGACUAACCCGAGUACUCGAAGAAUUUCUCAGAAAACAUGAAAAUUUUCCAAAGGUGCAGGGGACACACGCUCGUAUGGCUCACAGGACCAAGAGAUAGGCUCGUGUCUUAGGGCGUGUAGGCAUUCGAAAUAGAGACACACGGUUGUGUCCCAGCCCAUGUCUGUGCCCGUGUAACUCACUGACUUGGGUCACACGGCCAAACCACACAUCCGUGUGCUAGGUCAUGUGCUAAACCGUGUAAAAUCUGGAGGGUAUACUGACUUGUGUCACACGGCCAAGCCACAUGCUCGUGUGCUAGGCCGUGUAAGGCCACUGACUUGUUUUCUUUAGAUGUUACAGGGGACACACGGUCGUGUUACCCGGCCGUAUGUCACACACGGCUGAGACACACGACCGUGUGGACAAAAAUAGGCUAUUUUCCAAGCCAUAUUUCUCACCCAAAUUGGUACCAACCUACACACUAAAAUUUUCAUAUGGCAAUGACAUAAAUAGGCAUUCAAAACCAACCAACAUCAAGCCUAAAACAUGCAAUAACAUCACAUACAAACAUGAUACUCAUAGGCACCUCAAUUUGUCAUUUAUAACAUGCCAAUUAUGUCUCCAAAAUCUCCUUAAAUGGUCAAACACAUAUAUGCAAAAUUGUGCCUAAAACUUAACUUGUAUGUCACUUAUCAAACUCAUCUAUUUGGUACCCAAAAUACCAAUUCACAAACAAGACAUUCACAUGACAACCAUACACCACAUAUAAUAGGGUCAUUUACAUAUUUACAUAACAAAAUAUGUGUCCACAAUACAAGCCAAUUCAAANNNNNNNNNNNNNNNNNNNNNNNNNNNNNNNNNNNNNNNNNNNNNNNNNNNNNNNNNNNNNNNNNNNNNNNNNNNNNNNNNNNNNNNNNNNNNNNNNNNNNNNNNNNNNNNNNNNNNNNNNNNNNNNNNNNNNNNNNNNNNNNNNNNNNNNNNNNNNNNNNNNNNNNNNNNNNNNNNNNNNNNNNNNNNNNNNNNNNNNNNNNNNNNNNNNNNNNNNNNNNNNNNNNNNNNNNNNNNNNNNNNNNNNNNNNNNNNNNNNNNNNNNNNNNNNNNNNNNNNNNNNNNNNNNNNNNNNNNNNNNNNNNNNNNNNNNNNNNNNNNNNNNNNNNNNNNNNNNNNNNNNNNNNNNNNNNNNNNNNNNNNNNNNNNNNNNNNNNNNNNNNNNNNNNNNNNNNNNNNNNNNNNNNNNNNNNNNNNNNNNNNNNNNNNNNNNNNNNNNNNNNNNNNNNNNNNNNNNNNNNNNNNNNNNNNNNNNNNNNNNNNNNNNNNNNNNNNNNNNNGAUUUAGAGGCCCGCGCAUUUCCCUUCCGACACGUAUUUGCCGCUGCCUCUCCUCUGGCGUAAGUAAAUACGACUUUCCAUGGAUCCUAAACUAUGGCAUGUAUUCUGGAAUGCACGCUAACUCGGGAACGAUGAUUUGUUCCCGAGUAGGUAGAUAUUCAUGUCGAUUUUCCCACAUUUCUGUGUACUCUGACCAGCAUCUAGUUCAAUCUGUACCUAAUAGCCGAAGGUCGAUUUUGUGGUGCUCGUCAAACACCUCAGGGUCCGCAGGGAUCGGUUGUCUACAUCCAAACUGUCGUAGGACUCUGUCUGUCUGGUGGGGCUCCACGGUUGCAUAGUUGAUCAACACCACUUUCACGUGCCAAGCGUUCGGAUUUUGUAAAAACUCUUCCGGGAUUACUGCCCGGACUGCCGGAUCCUCGUAUGGUGUCCAUUGAAACUACAUGAACAUGAUAGAAAUAUUACUUAUAUACAUAAUACUAAAUACUAAAUACUAAACAUCAAUCCACUAGCGAAUGUAUGGAAAUAUCUAUUUGCAAUAAUACUUACUUCUGCUUCCGACCGUUGAUCCAAUAGAAGCCGUAUAUCUUCAAGUUCAGACGGUAAUCCACGAUAACUUGCCGGAUGGUUCCACCUAAAUAAAUAAAUUUUUAGCAUACUUUUAUUCUUACAAAAUUUACAUAACAAUUUCAAAAUGUAAUAUAAAAUUUACCUCGUUACGAGUGGGAAUGUAUAUGGGUGGUUCACUCGAGGACGUAGAAAUGGAAAGUGAAACCGUGCCCAUGAUUGCAGUAGUGACAGGCAACCUCUGAUUUUUGCUCUCCUCGGUUUGGUCGCCCCGCACAUCUCCCGAUAUAAUGUUGCCAAGACGGCAAACCCCUAACUUAAUUCACCGGGUGCUCUAAGAUCAACGAGUUUUAGCAGCCACCUUAGAUGUACACGGCUCCGUGACGUGUCGGCCAUCAGAGAGUCUCCAAUUAUUUGAAGAAUGUAUGAUCGAGCAUAUUGGAUUCUUUCAAUUUUUGUUGAAUCUAGCAAUCUCCACCUUACCUCAUUCCAUUUUAUCCGGAACAACGCCCAAAAGCUCGUAGCACACCGCCUCCCAAUUGCUAGAUUGGGCAGACCCGGUGACUGGAUGCCCGUCCACCGGCAAUCCCAAAUGCAGAUGGACAUCUUCUAGAGUGAUAGUGCACUCUCCACAUGGAAGAUGAAAUGUGUGCGUCUCGGGUCUCCACCUUUCGAUUAAUGCACUGAUCAGUUUCGGCUCCAACUUGCAUCCCCAGCCUACCGUCGCCACGUGCCAAAAUCCCGCUUCCCACAGGUAGUUCUCUACUAACGGUGAUGGAGGACCAUGCAUAUUCCGAAUAUUGCAUUCCAAUACACGAUCUUUAGACUUUUAUAACAAAAAAUAAAUUAAUAAUUAUCUAAAAAUACUUAAAUAAAAAUAUCUUAAAUAAAAUUUAAAAUUUAAACUUAAUACUUACCAUUUUCAUUUGCUCCACCAAUAUGUGAUUCACGAAUCAAUGAUCUGGCCAUUGUUGAAAAUUUUAAAAAUUUUAAAAUUAUUUUAAAAAAAUAAAAAUAUUUAAAAUUUUCUUUAAAAAAAUGAAUUUGAAUGGAAAAAGAAAUUUAAUAUGGAUUUGAGAGAUUUUUUGAAGGAAAUUGAGAGGAUUUUGGAAGGAAUUUGAGAGUUUAAGAGAAUUUUAGAAGGAAAUUGAGAAAAUAUUUGUUUGUGAAAAAAUAAGGGGUAGGGGGGUUUUAUAGUAAAAAAAAGUGACCGUUGGGGGGGCAACGGUCAAAAUUUUGACCGUUGGGGUACUGUUCACGCGCGCGUGUCAUCGCGUACACGUCAGCGCGACCUGCUGACUUGGAAGGAAAUCGCGUCCUUGAGGGCGCGAUUUCCUUCCACAUCAGCAGGUCGCGCUGACGUGGACACGAUGACCUGUCGUGUACCCUGACAUCGCGCUUACAUGGCAAAAAUUUCGCGGAAAUGACCCAUUCUGGUAAAUAAUUAAAAAUGUGGCCCAUUUCGGUAAAUUUAAAAAAAAUGGGUUUUUUUGGUAAAAUGACCGCGUCAUUGUAGCACUAUUCGCGUCACAUGUUAAAUGUAGAAUUCCCUUCAUCUCAAAUAUUCAUUACAUAAUAUGAAAAUUUUAAUAUCAUUUGUCUUAAAUACGAUUUUAUUUAGGUAGAUUUUGUACCUUAAAUAAGUAAGUACAUGUAUUUUAAUUUAGAUAUUUUCAAUAUUUGUAAUUUAGAUUUUUAAAAUUUUAGUCCAAAUUAAAUAACAACUAUUUAAUUCAUUGAGUUAUGUUAUUUUUAGAAUUUGAUGUGUUGAAUAUAUUAUUGCAUGUGUGUCAUGUCAGCUUGUUAUCUCCACAUGUUAUUAAAAAAAUAGUUAAUAGAUUUAACAAUUAUUGUUUGCAUUAAGAUUAAAAUUUCGAAAAACAAAAAAUAUAAUAACGACUAAAAAUGAUCCAGUUAGAGAACAUGGACUAAAUCUCUAACUUUACACAUAAUACAGGAGUAAUACUAGAGUUUAACCAAACAAACUUAAUAAUUAUUAUUCGGUUAAAACUAAAUAUUCAAGAAAUGAAAACUACAGGAAUUAAUUUUUUUUAAAUUAAAUAUAAAUAUUAAAUCUAAAACUUAUACAAAAUACAUUAUCCAAUACAAAAUUUUGACCUUUUAUUUAAGAAAAAUCAAAUAUAAAUACUAAUUCUUUUAAAAAAGAAAUUAUAAAGGCAUAAACAACCUCUUUCUUUAUGGUGCAUAAAAAAUUAGAAAUGUCGCCAUCAAACUAUUAUAUAUCCGGCGCUAAACACCACUCAUCCAAUUUCAGAAGGACAAUACAUCACGAGAAAAUUAAUUUUGGUAUAUUAUCAAUUAUUCAUUCAUCCACAAAUAUUUAAUAUAUUUGUCUUCACCUACAUUACCUUUUUUUUUUUUUUUUCAUCAAAUUCAGUUUCAAAAUUUAACCAUCUCUAUUCUUAAUAAAAAUAUUUGAUAUAUUUGACAACAUAUCAUUUUCAUAAACUAUUAAUUAAUUAAAAUUAUCUGCUGUUAAAUAAAAUAAUUAAUACAUUUUAAAAAUCUUUAAAUUUUUUUAAUAUAUAACUAUUGUAUAUGAUUUUCUAUGCUAUUAUAAAGCUUUUGAUUAAACCAAUAUCACUCGACUUUCACAUUAAUUCAAAUAACGUUAAUACUUUUAACUUCCAAAGGUAAUCUUUUGAGUACAUUUUUUGGAUAUAUUCUUCACUAUGACACUCACGAGAGUCUCAUUUACUCUUCAAAAGUAUAUUUCGAUUUAACAUUCGUGUGAAUCUUGCUCACUAACAGUCAUCUCUAAUUUUAACUAUUGCGUCCCAUAUGAAGUUAUUAAUAGCAUGUCCAAUUAUCACUCUACCUAAGCCUAUAGUGACAGAUCACUUGGCCACUUAUCCUUGACCCACUAAUAAGGACUCGACACGUGAUCUCUCAAGACUACAACUAAGAGUAUAAAGCCCUCGACUCCGACAAAAAAUGGAAACUCCUUGCUUUUCUCCUCCAAACCUUCUCUUUUGAUUCUAAUCUUACCACUUCCAAACAUCAUCUAUGAUGGCUCUAUGACUUAUAUCCAACUAGAUAAAACCGGUUAUCUCCACUGUCCGCUCCGCCUUAUUAGAUCCAACCAUAAACAAAUAAUAAAAUAAUUAUAUAAACAAAAAUUUAAGCGUAAUAAGCUUAUUAAAUAAAAACAAAAACAUCAUUUACUAUAAUAAUAAAAAAAACUAUCCGCAAAGAUUUUUUUUUGCAUUCUUUUUAUGUUUAAUAAAUAAGUAGGACAUUCAUUUAAAGAAAAAGAAAAAUAUCAUUUUAUUUUAUUUUUCCUCUCAAUUCAUUAUUUUUUAAGAUAUAGAAUACUCGGCGAAGCGUUUGAGACAGUAGUCAAAUAAUUGAUUUGAAUGAUUAGGUGGAAAUACUCGGCGAAGCGUAUAAGAGACUCCAAGGUGUACGCUAACUAAAAUGUCCACGUGAUUUAAUUUAUUUACCAUUAAUACCGACAAAACCUUAUCAUCUGCUGCCGUGGACGUAGCAGCGGAAGCAGCAACAUUACUAUUGUAAUAAAUAUCAGUCUGUGCCGUGGAGAAAAGUGAGAAACAUUUUUUGCUAAACAAGAAAAAGAAAGUUGCCAUAAAAAUGGACAAGGCACUGUUACAGGGAGAUGAUCGGAAAACAUGGGGGACGACGGUGUUCGUGAAGGAGCUGAAGAAGGUGAGUUACAUGGCGGCACCGAUGGUGGCUGUAUCGGUAUCACAGUAUCUAUUACAGGUGAUAUCGUUGAUGAUAGUUGGUCAUGUGGGUGAGCUUGCUCUUUCUGGGGUUGCUAUUGCCACUUCUUUCACCAAUGUCACUGGCUUCAGUUUACUUGUAAUAAUCCUUCUUCUUUUCUCCUUUUCUUGCUUUUCUUUUUUGUUCUACUUCAGUUUUUUUAUAUAUAUAUUUUUGAAACUGUUUUUAAACCCUAAACUAAACGAAGGAUUUGAGACAAAGUAAGAAAAUUUAUAUUGAAAGGCUGAGGUGAGGUUAAAAGAGCUUGAAUUAAAUUAUAAAUUUUAUGAAGGAUCAAAUAUGUAAUUUAUCCGUCUCCUUUGGCUCGGGGAAAGUACUACACUGACAAAGUAUACGUUAAAAUAUAAUAAAUUUUCUGAAUGAGGAAAUGAGUUGGGUAAUAUGAUAGAUUUAGUUUGGACUGGAUUUAGUUCAGGGUUAACAUCAAAUAUUUGAAAAUAAAAAUAAAAAUUUUGACUAUCAUAUUAUAGAUGACGAGUCAUGUAAACUUUAUUCUAACAUACGUUAUUGUAUUAAUUUUUAUACGUUGAAAUAAAUGAAAAUUUUAAUUGAAGAGUUAAUUUAUUUUUUAAUUUAAUGUAUAAAAAUUAAUUUAUUUAUUUUUUAAAAUAAAUUAAUUUAAAAUUUUAAUACAAUAACCUUGAUGUUAUUUUUACCAUUAAAAAGGUAAAGUUAAAGGUUUAGUUAAAAAAAAAAAUCUCUUCAAGUAUUAGAAAAGAUGCUUUCUUCGUAAAUUGAGCUCUAAAUUUUCAUAUUGGCCUUUAAAGGUUUUUCUUUUUUUCUGAAAUUUUAUUUAGAUUACUAUUUUUAUCUUAUUUUACUCAAAAAGUUAUAUGUCUAAUAAGAAUGGGUGAUGUGUACUAUUGUUUUUUAGUAAAAUGGAACAAAAUUAAUAAUUUAAAUGUCAUUUUUAAUAAAAAAAAUUUUAAGGAACUAUUUAAAAAGUGCUAUAGUUUAUGGGCUAGUUUAUGAAUAAAGCCUAAAAAAAGGACAUAUAAUAGCAUUUUAAUUCCACAAGUUACAAAGGCCAAAGUGACUUAAUUUAGCUUAGUUCAAGUUUUCAAAUCACUAGCACGGGAUUAUUAUUAUUUUUACUUUCAUGAUCGGAUCCAAUUGAACCUGGUUUUUAUUUGAGUGAAUUAGAUAAAAUAUUUUCAAUUCUGUUCAUAAUUUUCAAGGUCUCAAUGUAAAUCGAUGGCUAACACUAUAUAAUUUUCGUUGGAAACAGUUUGGAAUGGCUGGUGCAUUGGAAACACUAGGUGGUCAGGCUUAUGGAGCCGAACAAUAUCAAAAGCUUGGAACCUACACUUACUGUUCAAUCUUAUCUCUCAUUACAAUUUGCCUCCCAGUUUCCCUCUUUUGGAUUUUUAUGGACGAAUUCUUAAUAUUUAUGGGUCAAGACCCUCAAAUUUCACAUGUAGCCAGCAUUUACUCCAUUUGGCUCAUCCCUGCAUUAUUUGCCGAUGCUAUUCUUCAAUCACUGGUUCGUUAUUUCCAGUCCCAAAGCCAAAUUCUCCCAUUGUUUUUAAGUUCAUGUGCCACCAUAUGCUUCCAUGUACCACUUUGCUGGGUUCUAGUACAUAAAACCAAUCUGGGUUACGUAGGUGCUGCAUUAGCAAUCACACUUGCCUUGUGGUUUAAUGUCAUUGUGCUCGGGUUUUACAUGAGAUGGUCCGCUAGUUGUGAGUCGACUCGGACUGUUAUUGUGGGGGAUGUUUUCGCGAGUAUCAAAGAGUUCUUAGGCUUUGCACUCCCUUCUGCUGUAAUGUGUUGGUAUGUAUAUUUCAGCUUUCUUUCUUUGUUUACUAAUCAAUUUUUGAACGUACAUAUAUGUUUCAUUUUUAUUAUGAUGAUCAGUCUUGAAUGGUGGUCAUUCGAGCUUCUCGUACUUCUAUCCGGCCUUUUACCGGAUUCGGAACUCGAAACAUCGGUUCUUUCUAUAUGGUAUGUAACCAAAUUUAUUCGAAACCUCGGUUUUUUUCAUUUUUUUCAAUAAGAUUUUUACUGAUUUCUUCUCAUUAUGUGCCGAGUAAAGCCUUUCAACAACAUCAUUACACUACUUCGUACCGUAUGGAGUUGGUGCUGCUGCAAGGUUAGACGAAUAUCUAUUAUAUCCGGUAAAAGUACAUGAAAGAUUUUAUACUAGGAGUUAAAUUGCAUUUUGUCACAUUUAUUUAAAAAAUAAACAAAUUAAUCUCUGUACAUUAAAUCAAAAAAUAAAUUAGUCAUUUCUAUUAAAAAUUUUAUCUAUGUGUAUUGUUAAAAAUUGACAUAUGGCUGAAGGAAUAAUUAUAUAGUAAUAUAUGGUGUGCCACGUGUACUUUAUGCUUAUGUACAAUGACCAGUUUUUAACAAUAGAAAUGGAUUUAAUUUUUAAGAGAAAGACCAAUUUGCUCUUUAAUCUAACGUACAAUGAUUAAUUUAUCUAUUUUUUGAAUAAACGGGGCAAAAUACAUUCCGACACCUAGUAUAUGAACUGCCAUGGUAUUUCUACCAUUAUAUUGUGUAUGCCAUUGACAAAAGCUUAAUUGCAUAUGCAUUGAGACUUACAUGUGCCACUAUGCCACUCCUUCUGUUUUGCAGUACUCGAGUUUCGAAUGAACUAGGAGCAGGGAACCCACAUUCGGCUCGAGUAGCAGUCAAUGUCGUGAUGAUACUCGGAAUUUUUGAAGCAAUGACUGUUAGCAUAACCCUCUUCAGCUGCCGUUAUGCUUUCGGAUAUCUGUACAGCAACGAACAGGAAGUUAUCGACUACGUUGGAGAAAUGAUUCCUUUAAUUUCACUAUCCGUCAUCAUUGACAGUUUACUAGCAGUUAUUUCCGGUCAGUCUCUAUACGUUGUUCCUCAUUCAUGUGAUAUUCAGACAAAUGAAGCUGUAUAACUCGAGUUUUCUUGCACGUUUCAGGUGUCGCGAGAGGAACCGGGUGGCAACACAUUGGAGCAUACGUGAACCUUGGGGCAUACUACCUUGUUGGAAUCCCAGUUGCUGCUCUGCUAUGCUUUAGCCUACAUCUUAGAGGAAAGGGACUUUGGAUUGGAAUAUUGACCGGUUCUUCUUUACAAUUGGUUCUUCUAGCUUUAGUUACUGGUUUCACAAAUUGGCAAAAACAGGUAUAUAUAUAUAAUAGUAUCAUCAAAAUUUUGGGAUUUGAAUGUUAAUGUGUUUAGCUAAGUGAAAAUUUUGGUAUGGAUGUUGCAGGCAAGCAAGGCACAAGAGAGAAUAUUUGAAGAGAAAUUUUCCAAUGGAUUAUUAGCUUGAAGAAACAUGAACUGGUCAUGUGUUGAGCUACCAACAUUUUGAUUUAGUUCUUAUGGAUUUUGUGUUUAGUUAUAAACCUUUUAAGUCACCAUGUUUAUACAAUAAAUUGCCAUCGUGUUGUCUGGUUUUAUGUCCCACUUUUUUAUGUCCAUUAAAUCUCCUGUCUAUAUAUGUAUUGCUGAGGGUUAGGUUUUCGAUAUGUUGAUAUUGUUUUUUGGUGAGAGUUUUGUUUCUCAACUUUAUUGAAAGCUUGAGCGGGUU